AGGCUUUCACAGCUGUCUGGGCGAGACCUGUGAAGCAGAGCUAGCAGAUCCCGAGGGGAAAUUCGUGGGCAGAGCUCCGCCUUCAGCUCCUCCAAGGGC
rnacentral:lncRNA from 1 species